rnacentral:rRNA from 1 species
CCUACGGGGGGCAGCAGUGGGGAAUAUUACACAAUGGGGGAAACCCUGAUGCAGCGACGCCGCGUGAGUGAAGAAGUAUCUCGGUAUGUAAAGCUCUAUCAGCAGGGAAGAAAAUGACGGUACCUGACUAAGCAGCCCCGGCUAACUACGUGCCAGCAGCCGCGGUAAUACGUAGGGGGCAAGCGUUAUCCGGAUUUACUGGGUGGAAAGGGAGCGUAGACGGCGAUGCAAGUCUGAAGUGAAAGGCGGGGGCCCAACCUCCGGACUGCUUUGGAAACUGGACGGCUGGAGUGCAGGAGAGGUAAGUGGAAUUCCUAGUGUAGCGGUGAAAUGCGUAGAGAUUAGGAGGAACACCAGUGGCGAAGGCGGCCUACUGGACUGUAACUGACGUUGAGGCUCGAAAGCGUGGGGAGCAAACAGGAUUAGAUACCCGGGUAGUC